rnacentral:rRNA from 1 species
GAUGAACGCUGGCGGCGUGCCUAAUACAUGCCAGUCGAGCGAACAGACGAGGAGCUUGCUCCUCUGACGUUAGCGGCGGACGGGUGAGUAACACGUGGAUAACCUACCUAUAAGACUAGGAUAACUUCGGGAAACCGGAGCUAAUACCGGAUAAUAUAUUGAACCGCAUGGUUCAAUAGUGAAAGACGGUUUUGCUGUCACUUAUAGAUGGAUCCGCGCCGCAUUAGCUAGUUGGUAAGGUAACGGCUUACCAAGGCAACGAUGCGUAGCCGACCUGAGAGGGUGAUCGGCCACACUGGAACUGAGACACGGUCCAGACUCCUACGGGAGGCAGCAGUAGGGAAUCUUCCGCAAUGGGCGAAAGCCUGACGGAGCAACGCCGCGUGAGUGAUGAAGGUCUUCGGAUCGUAAAACUCUGUUAUUAGGGAAGAACAAAUGUGUAAGUAACUAUGCACGUCUUGACGGUACCUAAUCAGAAAGCCACGGCUAACUACGUG